GAGGAGUGGGAUGACGUCAAAUCAGCACGGCCCUUACGUCCAGGGCUACACACGUGCUACAAUGGCCGGUACAAAGGGCAGCUACCUGGUGACAGGAUGCUAAUCUCAAAAGCCGGUCUCAGUUCGGAUCGGAGUCUGCAACUCGACUCCAUGAAGUUGGAAUCGCUAGUAAUCGUGGAUCAGCAUGCCACGGUGAAUACGUUCCCGGGCCUU
rnacentral:rRNA from 1 species